rnacentral:rRNA from 1 species
UACGUAAGGGGCGAGCGUUGUCCGGAAUCACUGGGCGUAAAGCGUACGUAGGCGGUCGAACAAGUCAGGGGUGAAAGCUGUGGGCUUAACCCACAAACUGCCUCUGAAACUGUUCGACUCGAGUCUUGCAGGGGAAAGUGGAAUUCAUGGUGUAGCGGUGAAAUGCGUAGAUAUCAUGGAGAACACCCGUGGCGAAGGCGGCUUUCUGGGCAAAGACUGACGCUGAGGUACGAAAGCUAGGGGAGCGAACAGG